rnacentral:rRNA from 1 species
GAUGAACGCUAGCUAUAGGCUUAACACAUGCAAGUCGAGGGGAAACGGCAUUAUGUGCUUGCACAUUUUGGACGUCGACCGGCGCACGGGUGAGUAUCGCGUAUCCAACCUGCCCUUUACUUGGGGAUACCCCGUUGAAAGACGGCCUAAUACCCGAUGUAAUUCAUUGAUGGCAUCAGAUAUGAAUAAAAGAUUUAUCGGUAAAGGAUGGGGAUGCGUCUGAUUAGCUUGUUGGUGAGGUAAUGGCUCACCAAGGCGACGAUCAGUAGGGGUUCUGAGAGGAAGGUCCCCCACAUUGGAACUGAGACACGGUCCAAACUCCUACGGGAGGCAGCAGUGAGGAAUAUUGGUCAAUGGGCGCAAGCCUGAACCAGCCAAGUAGCGUGCAGGAAGACGGCCCUAUGGGUUGUAAACUGCUUUUAUACGAGAAUAAUUUGAUGCACGUGUGCGUUAUUGCAUGUAUCGUAUGAAUAAGGACCGGCUAAUUCCGUGCCAGCAGCCGCGGUAAUACGGAAGGUCCAGGCGUUAUCCGGAUUUAUUGGGUUUAAAGGGAGUGUAGGCGGUUUGUUAAGCGUGUUGUGAAAUUUAGAUGCUCAACAUUUAACUUGCAGCGCGAACUGGCGAACUUGAGUGCACACAACGUAUGCGGAAUUCAUGGUGUAGCGGUGAAAUGCUUAGAUAUCAUGAAGAACUCCGAUUGCGAAGGCAGCAUACGGGAGUGUAACUGACGCUUAAGCUCGAAGGUGCGGGUAUCGAACAGG